rnacentral:rRNA from 1 species
AGAAGACCCCAUGGAGCUUUAAACCCAACGACACCCAUUUUCUUUAUACCCUAGUAUUCAUUUGGCUAUGUUUGAUUGGUUUUAGGUUGGGGUGACCACGGAGCAUAAAAUAACCUCCACGAAGAAGAGACUAAUAAUCUUUAUCAAAGAAGUACACUUCCAAGAAUUAACAAAUUAAUUUCCAAUGAUCCGAUAUUCGAUCAACGAACCAAGUUACCCUGGGGAUAACAGCGCAAUCCACCUCAAGAGCUCCUAUCGACAGGUGGGUUUACGACCUCGAUGUUGGAUCAGGAUAUCCCAGUGGUGUAGCAGCUACUAAAGGUUCGUUUGUUCAACGAUUAAAAUCCU